rnacentral:tRNA from 1 species
GUCGGCGUAGCUCAGCUGGCGAGAGCGUACGGUUCAUACCCGUAAGGUCGGGGGUUCGAUCCCCUCCGCCGACACCA